rnacentral:rRNA from 1 species
GAUGAACGCUGGCGGCGUGCCUAAUACAUGCAAGUCGAGCGAACAGACGAGGAGCUUGCUCCUCUGACGUUAGCGGCGGACGGGUGAGUAACACGUGGAUAACCUACCUAUAAGACUGGGAUAACUUCGGGAAACCGGAGCUAAUACCGGAUAAUAUAUUGAACCGCAUGGUUCAAUAGUGAAAGACGGGUUUGCUGUCACUUAUAGAUGGAACCGCGCCGCAUUAGCUAGUUGGUAAGGUAACGGCUUACCAAGGCAACGAUGCGUAGCCGACCUGAGAGGGUGAUCGGCCACACUGGAACUGAGACACGGUCCAGACUCCUACGGGAGGCAGCAGUAGGGAAUCUUCCGCAAUGGGCGAAAGCUUGACGGAGCAACGCCGCGUGAGUGAUGAGGUCUUCGGAUCGUAAAACUCUGUUAUUAGGGAAGAACAAAUGUGUAAGUAACUAUGCACGUCUUGACGGUACCUAAUCAGAAAGCCACGGCUAACUACGUG